UGCAAAAAUACAAGUUAUAACAUGUACAAAAGUACAUCAUACAUGUUAUAACCUGUACAAAAUAUUGCUUAAAAUGGUUUUUAACUUGUACAAAAUUUAAAAUCAAUCUUAAUGAAGUAAAAUAUACAUUUAAAUUCACCAAUGCAUAAAGAACAACAAUAAAUAGGCCAGAAAGUGUCUUUUUCUAUAGAGGACAAUGAUCACAAAAUUUCAGAAAUAUAUGGUUCAUGACUUAUGUUGGCAAAAUGUGUUUUCAUGUAAAUGUAUGUUUUAUGCAGUCCAUCAUGGCUAAGAUAAGUGUGAAACUAUUUACUAAAAGCUUGCAUUCCUCAAUGACAAUUACAUUAUAUACUAGUAACUAAAUUCUUCCAAAAAAUUUAAGAACGAUUCCUAAUAAUUUUGGGAAAUACUCCUCCCUCUCGACUUUAUAGCAUGCAAAGACUAAAACAAAGUCUUAUAUGCUUACUCUGUAAAAGCAAGAGAGAGCUGAAAUAGUUUUCAUUGUACCACACUUCAUUAUCAAUAUCUUCGGAUCUACUCUUCAACAUUUUUGGCCUUCAGCAUGACUUAUGUAAAUUUAUAACUCAAUUUUUGUUUAUUAACUAUAAGAUCAUUGCAUGAGGCGAAUUUCAUUUUGAUGUUUUAAAUAUAUAUCCUCUACUAUGAAAGCAUGAAUUUGUGGCCUUUGGAUGUUGUCUGCUCCAUGAGCGGAUUGUUGUCUUUUAGACAUAUACCCCAUUUCAAUUCCCAAUUUAAUUUGUAGACACAUCUAUCCUGGCUAUCCUCUUAUGUCUUUUAGUGUCAACUAGAAUGAAAGUAUUUUACUAUUGCCUUCAAAGUGGACACUCACAAUUAUAAUUCAUCAAAUAAAGAUAUGUCCAUAGAUAGUCAUAAGAGGAUCAUAAGACAUGUCCUAAGAUAUAUCUUAUGACCUGUGGGUCUUAGGAAUGCUUCAUAAUACCUACCCCUGGACAUGAACUGUAUCAAAAAAGGACAAAACAC
rnacentral:lncRNA from 1 species